rnacentral:tRNA from 1 species
GGGCCUGUAGCUCAUUCGGUAGAGCGCGUGCAUGGCAUGCACGAGGCAAGGGGUUCGAUCCCCCUCAGGUCCACCA